AGUAUCAAUGAUGAUGACGUGGCUCCCUCUACUGAAAUCUGUGAGGAAGAAUACCAUUGUUACCCAGUUUCAUCUGAGAUGCA